rnacentral:rRNA from 1 species
GCUGGCGGCGUGCUUAACACAUGCAAGUCGAACGAUGAAGUUUAGUUUACUAAACAGAUUAGUGGCGCACGGGUGAGUAAUAUAUAGAUAAUCUGCCUUUUAGUCUGGGAUAGCCAUUGGAAACGAUGAUUAAUACUAGAUACUCCUUCUCUUUAUAAUAAGAGUUGGGAAAGGAACAUCUUUAUGGUGUUUCGCUAAGAGAUGAGUCUAUAUCCCAUCAGCUUGUUGGUAGUGUAAGAGACUACCAAGGCAAUGACGGGUAGCGGGUUUGAGAGGAUGAUCCGCCACACUGGUACUGAGACACGGACCAGACUCCUACGGGAGGCAGCAGUGAGGAAUAUUGCACAAUGGAGGAAACUCUGAUGCAGCAACGCCGCGUGGAGGAUGACGCAUUUCGGUGUGUAAACUCCUUUUAUCAAGGAAGAAAAUGACGGUACUUGAUGAAUAAGCACCGGCUAACUCCGUGCCAGCAGCCGCGGUAAUACGGAGGGUGCAAGCGUUAUUCGGAAUCACUGGGCGUAAAGGACGCGUAGGCGGGAAGCCAAGUCUGAUGUGAAAUCCUAUGGCUUAACCAUAGAACUGCAUUGGAAACUGGUUACCUAGAGUAUGGGAGGGGGAGAUGGAAUUAGUAGUGUAGGGGUAAAAUCCGUAGAUAUUACUAGGAAUACCGAAAGCGAAGGCGAUCUCCUGGAACAAUACUGACGCUAAGGCGUGAAAGCGUGGGGAGCAAACGGGAUUAGAUACCCCGGUAGUCCACGCCCUAAACGAUGUUCACUAGUCGUCGGAAUGCUAGUCAUUUCGGUGAUGCACUUAACAGAUUAAGUGAACCGCCUGGGGAGUACGGUCGC